ensembl:processed_transcript
GCCCAGAAUUCUCAGGGUAGUUGAAGAUAACCUUGAACACUGGACUUCCUACCUCUACCUCCCAAGUAUUGGGAUCACAGGUGACACCUACUCUAAGGAACAGAAGUACCAGCUAAGGAGGACACACACUUGAAGAAAAAGUAGACAAUGAGGGCCCCAGCAAAGCACAGUUCAAUGAAACUGACUUUCUAAAGAAACCAAAAGUUGAGGCUGGAGAGAUGGCUCAGUGGCUAAGAGCACUGACUGCCCUUCAAAAUGUCUUGAGUUCAAUUCCCAGCAACCACAUGGUGGCUCACAACCAUCUGUAAUGGGA